rnacentral:rRNA from 1 species
GGGCCCGCACAAGCGGUGGAGCAUGUGGUUUAAUUCGAUGAUACGCGAGGAACCUUACCAGGGCUUAAAUGUAGUGGGACAGGUCUAGAGAUAGACCCUUCUUCGGACUCAUUACAAGGUGCUGCAUGGUUGUCGUCAGCUCGUGCCGUGAGGUGUCAGGUUAAGUCCUAUAACGAGCGCAACCCCUAUCGUUAGUUGCCAGCGAGUAAUGUCGGGAACUCUAACGAAACUGCCAGUGCAAACUGUGAGGAAGGUGGGGAUGACGUCAAAUCAUCACGGCCCUUACGUCCUGGGCUACACACGUGCUACAAUGGCCGGUACAGAGAGCAGCCACUUCGCAAGAAGGAGCGAAUCUUCAAAGCCGGUCUCAGUUCGGAUUGUCGUCUGCAACUCGACGGCAUGAAGUCGGAAUCGCUAGUAAUCG